AAAAAAUCUAGAUUCUACGAGAUCGAAAGAGUCGUUUCAAAAAGAGUCAGUAAGAAAAAGAUUGAAUAUUUCAUCAAGUGGAAGGGCUACUCGAGCCUACAAAACUCCUGGGAGCCAGAAGAGAAUUUAAACGCCUUUGCUUUGAGGUCAUUCAACAACCCAAGGCUCACACAGCAAGAGAUUGCUGAUGCCAGUGAGGGUCUCCACAUUGGCAUUUUAGAGCAGUUAAAAUCAAAGUCUCAAUUACCCACUGUCAUUGCUUUUAACCACACUUUUUUUAACUUUUUGUUUAAAGAUAAGGGAUGGAAAAGUAAUGACAGUGGAUACAUCCUCCUUGAAAAACAGGAUUUUAUAAGAUGCCACUUUCCUAAUGGAUGGCACAGGCUAAUAGAUAGUAUAGGGGAUGGGGUGCAAAUUGACUUUCCUGUGAAGGUCAGAUUGUUUUUGUCAUGGAGUCCAAAGACUCAUAGCUUGACAGGGGAGUCAAUUACACCUUGCCCACGAUAUAGGCCAGAAAAAUUGAGUAUUUCUUUUUGUAAAGCAGCAUGCAGCCUGACAUGAGACAAAUUAAAGAAACCAAGACUUGAUUUGAUUCUAUUUGGCAUUGUGUAUUUAUUACAAAAUAGAAAAUCUAUAUUUUUGUAGUAGUUCAUCACAUAUUCUUAUAUUGAGUCAAAUUUUUCAUAUUUACAACCUAGAAGUACUUGCGGUGUGCAGGCUGUUUUUCAAUUUGUUAAACUUGUGGGUCCUGAAGAACUUGGGGAUAUGGAACACCAUAGCAUGGAUAUACGGUGUUAUUCGUGCACGUUCAUAGCCCUUUCUUUUGUCUCUUAGAGAAAUGAAAAGGUUUACCCAGCUUUUAGCCUUUUCAAAAAAAUCUGUAAUUUGCUUAUCUGAAUUUUGACCACUUCCAAUAAAUGUAUAUAGUUC